UACGUAGGUGGCGAGCGUUAUCCGGAAUUAUUGGGCGUAAAGAGCGCGCAGGUGGUUGAUUAAGUCUGAUGUGAAAGCCCACGGCUUAACCGUGGAGGGUCAUUGGAAACUGGUCGACUUGAGUGCAGAAGAGGGAAGUGGAAUUCCAUGUGUAGCGGUGAAAUGCGUAGAUAUUAGGAAGAACACCAGUGGCGAAGGCGGCUUUCUGGACUGUAACUGACACUGAGGCAUGAAAGCGUGGGGAGCAAACAGGAUUAGAUA
rnacentral:rRNA from 1 species